rnacentral:rRNA from 1 species
CCCUUAGAUGUUCUGGGCGGCCCGCGCACUACAAUGGCGUGUGCAGCGAGUGCCGAAGUAGAGUUUUCCGAGGUAUUCUUGCAAUGCUCGUUUUGAUGGGGAUAGACCCUUGCAACUGUUGGUUUUGAACGAGGAAUUCCUUGUAAGCAUGGUUUAUCAUCCGACGCUGAAUGCGUCCCUGCCCUUUGUACACACCGCCCAUCGCUCCUACCGAUGAGUCGUCCGGUGAAGUUCGUAGACCUCGUGAUCGCGGAUCACUGGGGGAAGCAAAAUGAACCUCGCGGUUUAGAGGAAGGAGAAGUCGUAACA